rnacentral:rRNA from 1 species
UUAGAGUUUGAUCCUGGCUCAGAACGUACGCUGGCGGCACGCCUAACACAUGCAAGUCGAACGAAGUAGCAAUACUUAGUGGCAGACGGGUGAGUAACAUGUAGGUAUCUGCCCUUUGGCCUGGAAUAACACGAGGAAACUUGUGCUAAUACCGGAUAAGUCUUUACGGAGAAAGCUUUAUGCACCAUUGGAUGAGCCUGCACUUGAUUAGUUUGUUGGUGGGGUAAUGGCCUACCAAGACUGUGAUCAAUAGCUGAUUUGAGAGGAUGAUCAGCCACAUUGGGACUGAGACACGGCCCAAACUCCUACGGGAGGCAGCAGUGGGGAAUCUUGCACAAUGGAGGAAACUCUGAUGCAGCGAUGCCGCGUGAGUGAAGAAGGCCCUUGGGUUGUAAAGCUCUUUCGUCGGGGAAGAAAAUGACUGUACCCGAAUAAGAAGGUCCGGCUAACUUCGUGCCAGCAGCCGCGGUAAUACGAAGGGACCUAGCGUAGUUCGGAAUUACUGGGCUUAAAGAGUUCGUAGGUGGUUGAAAAAGUUAGUGGUGAAAUCCCAGAGCUUAACUCUGGAACUGCCAUUAAAACUUUUCAGCUAGAGUAUGAUAGAGGAAAGCAGAAUUUCUAGUGUAGAGGUGAAAUUCGUAGAUAUUAGAAAGAAUACCAAUUGCGAAGGCAGCUUUCUGGAUCAUUACUGACAUUGAGGAACGAAAGCAUGGGUAGCGAAGAGGAUUAGAUACCCUCGUAGUCCAUGCCGUAAACGAUGUGUGUUAGACGUUGGAAAUUUAUUUUCAGUGUCGCAGGGAAACCGAUAAACACACCGCCUGGGGAGUACGACCGCAAGGUUAAAACUCAAAUGAAUUGACGGGGACCCGCACAAGUAGUGGAGCAUGUGGUUUAAUUCGAAGAUACGCGCAGAACCUUACCAACACUUGACAUGUUCGUCGCGACUCUAAGAGAUUAGAGUUUUCGGUUCGGCCGGACGAAACACAGGUGCUGCAUGGCUGUCGUCAGCUCGUGUCGUGAGAUGUUGGGUUAAGUCCCGCAACGAGCGCAACCCUCACUUUUAGUUGCCAUCAUUAAGUUGGGCACUCUGAAAGAACUGCCAGUGAUAAGCUGGAGGAAGGUGGGGAUGACGUCAAGUCCUCAUGGCCCUUACGUGUUGGGCUACACACGUGCUACAAUGGUAUCUACAACAGGAAGCAAGACUGCGAAGUUAAGCAAAUCCCUAAAAGAUACCUCAGUUCGGAUUGCACUCUGCAACUCGAGUGCAUGAAGCUGGAAUUACUAGUAAUCGUGGAUCAGCGUGCCACGGUGAAUGCGUUCCCGGGUCUUGUACACACCGCCCGUCACACCAUGGGAGUUGGUUCUACCUUAAGGCAAGGUUUCAAACCCUUGACCACGGUAUAGUCAGCGACUGGGGUGAAGUCGUAACAAGGUAACC